rnacentral:rRNA from 2 species
CCUGCGGAAGGAUCAUUAAUGAAUUCACUAUGGAGUUGUUGCUGGCCUCUAGGGGCAUGUGCACGCUUCACUAGUCUUUCAACCACCUGUGAACUUUUGAUAGAUCUGUGAAGUCGUCUUUCAAGUCGUCAGACUUGGUUUGCUGGGAUUUAAACGUCUCGGUGUGACAACGCAGUCUAUUUACUUAACACACCCCAAAUGUAUGUCUACGAAUGUCAUUUAAUGGGCCUUGUGCCUAUAAACCAUAAUACAACUUUCAACAACGGAUCUCUUGGCUCUCGCAUCGAUGAAGAACGCAGCGAAAUGCGAUAAGUAAUGUGAAUUGCAGAAUUCAGUGAAUCAUCGAAUCUUUGAACGCACCUUGCGCCCCUUGGUAUUCCGAGGGGCAUGCCUGUUUGAGUGUCAUUAAAUUCUCAAACUCACUUUGGUUUUUUCCAAUUGUGAUGUUUGGAUUGUUGGGGGCUGCUGGCCUUGACAGGUCGGCUCCUCUUAAAUGCAUUAGCAGGACUUCUCAUUGCCUCUGCGCAUGAUGUGAUAAUUAUCACUCAUCAAUAGCACGCAUGAAUAGAGUCCAGCUCUCUAAUCGUCCGCAAGGACAAUUUGACAAUUUGACCUC